CCCCUCCCAGGAUCGCAACUGGAGAGUUUCCAGUACUCUACCAGUGUCAGCUAUGGGAGGGGGAGUCAAGCAGAGACCUAGCCAUUUCAUUCCUAGCUUGGCCAUUGGCUAGCAAGUGGAAGGCCAUCUGCUACAAGU